rnacentral:rRNA from 1 species
AUUCCAGCUCCAAUAGCGAAUACUAAUUCUGCUGCAGUUAAAAAGCUCGUAGUUGAACUUCUGGUAGGACAGAUCCGGCCUUUGGAUGAAUGUCCAUUGUAUGCUGUGUGUCUUGUCUGGCCAUCCUUUAUGUCUUUUAGGCGUAAUCUUUCACUGUAAAAAAAUUAGGGUGUUUCAAGCAAAAGUUAUUUGGAAUAUAUUAGUAUGGGAUGAUAAGAUAGGCUCUUGAGUGCUACUUUGUUGGUUUAUACACUUAGAGAAUGAUUAACAGGGACAGUUGGGGGUAUUCAUAUUUACAUGUCAGAGGUGAAAUUCUUGGAUUUACGAAAGACGAGCAACUGCGAAAGCACUUGCCAAGAGUGUUUUCAUUA